UGCCUAAUACAUGCAAGUCGAGCGGAGUUUAUCGGGAGCUUGCUCCUGAUAAACUUAGCGGCGGACGGGUGAGUAACACGUAGGCAACCUGCCGUAAGACUGGGAUAACUACCGGAAACGGUAGCUAAUACCGGAUACGCAAGUCUCUCGCAUGAGGGGCUUGGGAAAGGCGGAGCAAUCUGUCACUUACGGAUGGGCCUGCGGCGCAUUAGCUAGUUGGUGGGGUAACGGCUCACCAAGGCGACGAUGCGUAGCCGACCUGAGAGGGUGAACGGCCACACUGGGACUGAGACACGGCCCAGACUCCUACGGGAGGCAGCAGUAGGGAAUCUUCCGCAAUGGACGAAAGUCUGACGGAGCAACGCCGCGUGAGUGAUGAAGGUUUUCGGAUCGUAAAGCUCUGUUGCCAGGGAAGAACGUCCGUUAGAGUAACUGCUAACGGAGUGACGGUACCUGAGAAGAAAGCCCCGGCUAACUACGUGCCAGCAGCCGCGGUAAUGCGUAGGGGGCAAGCGUUGUCCGGAAUUAUUGGGCGUAAAGCGCGCGCAGGCGGCUGUUUAAGUCU
rnacentral:rRNA from 1 species